GGCUUGAUGCUAAUUACUAUUCACUCCUGCCUUAGAUAAUGCUGUCAGUGGAGAUGGGAUAAAGAAAAAUAACUGCCUAGGUUCAUUAGUCUAAUUUAGCUGGUGCAGUGCACAGAUGAAACUUACAAACAUCAAAUCUUUCUCUCGAGUGAAAGAAAAGAGUGAAGAUACAUAGAGAACAACAUAAGACAUGAAGAAAGAAGAAAACCUCUGUUCCCAGAGAUGAAGAUGAUCUCAGAGACAGAGAGAUGUUUGCUUUUGAACAGCUCAUCCUUAAAAUAGUACCCCAUAAGUUGGCAUGGCUCAUAAACACAGCUGUGGGAAGGCUGCAAAAGAUGGGAGAGACUUCAUGAUUGCAGAUUUCUGGGUGGCUGCUAUUCGUGGAAUUUAAAAGCCAUGAGAGAACUCUUUCUUGUGAAGAAGUCUCCAUAGCAUGACAAGAGAGUCUUCUCUCCCUAAGUGAACUGAAGAAAGACUAUUCUAGAAGUGAUAAA